rnacentral:rRNA from 1 species
AUUGAACGCUGGCGGCAGGCCUAACACAUGCAAGUCGAACGGUAACAGGAAGCAGCUUGCUGCUUCGCUGACGAGUGGCGGACGGGUGAGUAAUGUCUGGGAAACUGCCUGAUGGAGGGGGAUAACUACUGGAAACGGUAGCUAAUACCGCAUAACGUCGCAAGACCAAAGAGGGGGACCUUCGGGCCUCUUGCCAUCAGAUGUGCCCAGAUGGGAUUAGCUAGUAGGUGGGGUAACGGCUCACCUAGGCGACGAUCCCUAGCUGGUCUGAGAGGAUGACCAGCCACACUGGAACUGAGACACGGUCCAGACUCCUACGGGAGGCAGCAGUGGGGAAUAUUGCACAAUGGGCGCAAGCCUGAUGCAGCCAUGCCGCGUGUAUGAAGAAGGCCUUCGGGUUGUAAAGUACUUUCAGCGGGGAGGAAGGCGAUGCGGUUAAUAACCGCGUCGAUUGACGUUACCCGCAGAAGAAGCACCGGCUAACUCCGUGCCAGCAGCCGCCGUAACAC